rnacentral:rRNA from 1 species
GACGAACGCUGGCGGCGUGCUUAACACAUGUAAGUCGAACGGAAAGGCCCUGCUUUUGUGGGGUGCUCGAGUGGCGAACGGGUGAGUAACACGUGAGUAACCUGCCCUUGACUUUGGGAUAACUUCAGGAAACUGGGGCUAAUACCGGAUAGGAGCUCCUGCUGCAUGGGGGGGGUUGGAAAGUUUCGGCGGUUGGGGAUGGACUCGCGGCUUAUCAGCUUGUUGGUGGGGUAGUGGCUUACCAAGGCUUUGACGGGUAGCCCGCCUGAGAGGGUGACCGGCCACAUUGGGACUGAGAUACGGCCCAGACUCCUACGGGAGGCAGCAGUGGGGAAUAUUGCACAAUGGGCGGAAGCCUGAUGCAGAAACGCCGCGUGCGGGAUGACGGCCUUCGGGUUGUAAACCGCUUUCGCAUGUGACGAAGCGUGAGUGACGGUAAUGGGUAAAGAAGCACCGGCUAACUACGUG